rnacentral:rRNA from 1 species
UACGUAGGGUGCGAGCGUUAAUCGGAAUUACUGGGCGUAAAGCGUGCGCAGGCGGUUAUGUAAGACAGAUGUGAAAUCCCCGGGCUCAACCUGGGAACUGCAUUUGUGACUGCAUGGCUAGAGUACGGUAGAGGGGGAUGGAAUUCCGCGUGUAGCAGUGAAAUGCGUAGAUAUGCGGAGGAACACCGAUGGCGAAGGCAAUCCCCUGGACCUGUACUGACGCUCAUGCACGAAAGCGUGGGGAGCAAACAGGACUAGAAACCCUUGUAGUCC